rnacentral:rRNA from 1 species
UGCCAGCAGCCGCGGUAAUACGGAGGGUGCAAACGUUGCUCGGAAUUAUUGGGCGUAAAGCGCGCGUAGGCGGCUGAGCAAGUUGGAUGUGAAAGCCCUGGGCUCAACCCAGGAAGUGCAUCCAAAACUGCUCGGCUUGAGUCUCGGAGGGGGGCAGGGAAUUCCCGGUGUAGAGGUGAAAUUCGUAGAUAUCGGGAGGAACACCAGUGGCGAAGGCGCUGCCCUGGACGAUGACUGACGCUGAGGUGCGAAAGCGUGGGGAGCAAACAGGAUUAGAUA